rnacentral:rRNA from 1 species
UACGAAGGGGGCUAGCGUUGUUCGGAAUUACUGGGCGUAAAGCGCACGUAGGCGGGCGAUUAAGUCAGGGGUGAAAUCCCGGAGCUCAACUCCGGAACUGCCUUUGAUACUGGUCGUCUAGAGAUCGGAAGAGGUGAGUGGAAUUCCCAGUGUAGAGGUGAAAUUCGUAGAUAUUGGGAAGAACACCAGUGGCGAAGGCGGCUCACUGGUCCGAUACUGACGCUGAGGCACGAAAGCGUGGGGAGCAAACAGG